rfam:Plasmodium cynomolgi strain B DNA, chromosome 12.
UAUAAAGCUUUCAUGAUGAUUUCAAUGAUAGGACAGAAAAAUACCUUCAUGUUGAUAAAUCUUUUAGCCGAUAUAUUAAACAAUUCACUGAUCGAAUGCCUUUG